AUGACCUAAUAACAACAAAAACAAGUUAUAAUUGGAUUGCAGGUGAAUAAUAGAUUAACAGGAUACUCCUUGGCUGAAGAACUCUUAUGGGUGACCUAAGCCAUGUGACCAGGUAGAACAAACAAACUGAACUAAAUAAGCAAACAGAAAGGCAGGUAAGACAAGAACAGGCAGACAGAUAGAGAGAGACCCAGAAAAGCAGGCAUUGGUUAACAACAAACAAGCAGACAGACAGACAGGCAGACAGGCAGACAGGCAGACAGGUAAGACAAGAACAGGCAAGGAAGGCAAGCAGGUAGGAAAAGAAGUAGUAAGAUAGAAACAGGCAGACAGGCAGACAGGCAGACAGGCAGACAGGCAGACAGACAGACAGAUAGAGAGACCCAGACAAGCAGAACAAAUCCCCAUAGCAAAGCCUUAAACCCUGAUCAAUCUCACCUCUCCGCAGAUGUAGUCACUAAAACGGUUGAUACAACCUGUUCAAACAAAGAUGAAAGCGAAAGGUUAUGGAAAAGGAGAGGACUGGUACAUAGAAAAAUACUGAAAUGAGGUCUACUAUCUUAAUGUACUGAAUUUGGACAUGAAAGAUAUUGAUUCGAAGUGAGGGCUGCAACCCGCCACGCGUUUUUGGCAUCAUUUUGGUCUCGUCGGCUAAAAUCAAGUUAUAUUGUCAAAUGAAUCAUUAUGGAAAAGGAUUUUGGUUCUUUGCCGAGUCACUGAGCAGAUAUUUUCAUAGUUAAUAGAAGGGAAUUUGCUUACCGCGGAAGCCUUCAGGCCGCUUUUCGUCUUCAAGAUAGAACCCAGAAACCUGGCUGAGAAGCAUAACACUGGCAAUUACGAGAACAAUGAAGUAUGACGAUGAUGCCAUGUUUACUGACAGAGAUUCUCUUUUCCUGGAAUCAGCCCUUUUUUCCACUGAAAUAUUGAUGUUUGUUGAUUGCGUUUUGGGGUUGAAUAAAGGAGUGAACUUAA